rnacentral:lncRNA from 1 species
UUGUAAGAAGGUUGUAAGAGGGGUAUUUGGUCCUUCCCCUUCAAAGUGAUUUGCUGGUGGAAGUUGGGAGCCUCAUCGAAGAAGGCUUCGAAAGUAGAUGUAGGUCAUUUGACCGAACCACUAUACAUCGUGGUAUUCCUUGAAUGUGUUAGUGUUUAAUUUUCUGAACCAUUUCUCUACUUAGCUGCAAAUCAUUCGGUUUUCAUCUCCCUACUCUUGACUACCUUUACUCGAGCUAUUUUAGCUAAGUCAUCCUUCGUCGAAUCGAAAUCUCAACACAUUUACGAAAUCGAUUUUAAACUUACGAGUUUUAAUCCGCUGCACUAAUUUACACCCCCCACCCCUCUUAGUGCCGCUCCGAUCCCAACAAUUGGUAUCAGAGCAAGGCUCACUCUCAUAUUUGGUUUAAUACCCAAGAGAGAUGGCUUACUCCGGCAUGCAAGAGGGUCACUCUAUUACACGUCCGCCUAUGUUUAAUGGGUCGGAUUACACGUAUUGGAAGACUCAUUUGAGGAUCUUCCUUAUUUCCAUGGAUUUUGAACUUUGGAAUAUUGUCGAAAAUGGAUUUAAAAAAUCUUCUCUUCCGAUGAGCGAAUGGGAUGAAUCGGAGAAGAAGGUUUUUGCUUUAAACGCAAAGGCUAUGAAUGCCUUGUUUUGUGCACUUGACAAAAAUGAAUUUAAUCGCGUUUCGAUUUGUGAUUCGACUUUUGAUAUUUGGAGAACUCUUGAGGUCGCUCAUGAAUGCACUAGCCGAGUAAAAGAGUCCAAAAUCAACAUUCUUGUGCAUUCUUACGAACUUUUCCGGAUAAAACCAAGUGAGUCCAUCGGAGACAUAUACACCCGUUUCACAUAUGUCAUCAAUGGACUCAAAGCUCUUGGUAAAGGUUUUUCUAACUUUGAACUAGUAACUAAAAUUUUAAGAUCCCUUCCAAAGAGUUGGGAUCCAAAAGUUACAGCCAUUCAAGAGGCCAAGGACUUUAAAACAUUUCCUCUCGAAGAACUUAUUGGGUCUCUAAUGACCUACGAAAUGACGUGCCAUGAUCAUGAAUAGCUCGAGAACCCCCUUCCAAAGAACAGGAAGGAUAUGAUACUUAGAACACAAGAAGACCACUUGAAAGGAACAUCAAGUGAUGAGGACAGUGACGAUGACGUUGCACUUUUAACUCGAAAAUUUAAAAAAUUUAUAAGAAAGAACAAAUUUAAAAAUGACACCAAAAACAAACUUGAACAUAAAAAGGACCAAGUAAUAUGCUACGAAUACAAGAAGCCGGGGCACUUCAAAAAUAAAUGCCCCCAAGCCAAGAAGAAGCAACCAAAGAAGAAGAAAGCUUUAAAAGCGACUUGGGAUGACUCAAGUGAUUUCGAGAAUGAAGAAGCUAACAACAAAGAGGAGGCAAACUUCGCGCUAAUGACUUUAGGAGGAGAGGUAUGUGAUUUAAUUAAUGAAGAUUUAUCUUUCGAUGAACUUUCUAUCGCUUUUCACAAAUUAUUUGAUGAGUGUAGAACUAUUAGUAAGAAGUUCAAUCUAUUAAAGAAAGAGCAUGCCUUACUACAAAAUAAGCUUGAUAGUCUUCAAACUCCUCCAUGUUCUAAGUGUGAACACUUAGAAGCAAUAAAAAAUGAGAAUUUACUACUUAAGGAGACCUUAAACAAGUUUAAGGUCGGUAGUAAAGGCUUGGACAGGAUCCUUGCAAACAAGGGUCACGUCGCAAAUAGAAGUGGAAUUGGUUUUGUGAGAGGAUCUCACCAAAAUCCUACCACCUUCAUUAAAGGACCCGCAUUACAUGUUUCACCUCAUUUGAAAUGCAACUUUUAUUGUAAAUCCGGACAUGUUGUUUACAAAUGUCCAUUUAAGAAAAUUAGUCCACAUAAGUUGAUAUGGGUUCCUAAAGGAACUAUAAAUAAUUCAAUGAUGAAUGACAAAAUUAGUAGAUCAAUUUUUUAGGUACCCAAAAUCAAAUGGGUACCUAAAAACCAUCCUCUUUUGUAGACAAACUCACAAGCUAGGAGCAAGAGAUGGUAUCUUGAUAGUGGAUGCUCAAGGCAUAUGACCGGAGAUCCAUCUCAUUUCUCUAUGCUCACUAGCAAAGAAGAAGAGUAUGUCACCUUCGGAGACAACAAUAAAAGUAAAAUCAUUGGCAAGGGAACCAUAGGUAACAAAUCAAAAUUUUCAAUUGAUGAUGUGUUGCUAGUUGAUGGAUUAAAACAUAAUCUCUUAAGCAUUAGUCAAUUAUGCGAUAAAGGUUACAUCGUUAGAUUUAAAUCUAAUGUGUGCAUUAUUGAAAAACCAAACAAUAACAUAUCAAUGAUUGCCUUAAAACAAAAUAAUGUCAACAUCAUCAACCUUAAUGAACUUAGUAAUGAAAUAUGCUUUUCCGCUUUAAAUGAUGAUGCUUGGCUUUGGCAUAGGAGAUUAGGUCAUGCAAGUAUGAAACUAAUAUCUAAGAUUUCAUCUAGAGAGUUAGUACGAGAGAUUCCCAAUAUGAAGUUUAUUAAGGACAAAGUGUGUGAUGCUUGUCAACUAAGAAAAUAAAUAAAAACUAGUUUCAAACCAAAAAAUCAAAUUAGCACCACUAGAUCAUUGCAAUUGAUUCAUUUGGACUUAUUUGAACCAAUUGACACAACGAGUCUAGGAAGAAGCAAAUAUGCCUUCAUAAUUGUAGAUGACUAUAGUAGAUAUACUUGGACCUAUUUCUUGGCUCACAAAAGUGAUUGUUUCAAAUGUUUCUCUAAAUUUUGUAAACUUACUCAAAACGAAAAAGGCUUCAUUAUUUCAUCAAUUCGGAGUGAUCACGAUGGCGAAUUUCAAAACCGUGACUUCCAAAGUUUUUGUGAAUCUAAUGGAUAUAACUACAACUCCACUUCGAGAAAUCCUCAACAAAAUGGGGUAGUUGAAAGAAAAAAUAAAAAUUUACAAGAAAUGGCAAGAACCAUGUUAAAUGAACAUAUUCUAUCUAAGUAUUUUUGGACCGAAACCGUUAAUACGGCUUGCUAUGUCAUGAAUAGGGUUCUAAUAAAACCAUCUCUAUCAAAAACUCUCUAUAAAUUAUGGAAUAACAAAAAACCAAAUGUUUCUUAUUUUAACAUUUUCAGUUGCAAAUGCUUUAUUUUGAAUGAAAAUGAUGCCUUAGGAAAAUUUGAUGCUAAAUCCAAUGAAGGCAUCUUUCUUUGUUAGUCUUCCGUUUUUAAGACUUUUCGUGUUUUUAACAAAAGAACUUUAGUUAUAGAAGAAUCUAUUCAUAUAGUUUUUAAUGAAAUUUUUGAGUUAAAGAAAAAUGAUUUUGAUGAUGAUCUUGGUUUUGAUAAUUUGAAUUUAAAUGAACCCCCUCCUCAAAAUAGCAACUUGGAUACAUCUUCUUCCGAAAUUUCCUUACCCAAGGAAUGGAAGUAUGUAGAUACUCAUCCAAAGGAGCUAAUUAUAGGAGAUACAUCAAAAGGGGUUCAAACUUGUUCUUCCUUCAAGAAUUUUUGUGCUAACGCCGCCUUCCUUUCUCAAAUUGAACCUAAAUGCAUUGACGAAGCCUUGAAAGAUGAUUCAUGGGUUAUUGCAAUGCAAGAGGAAUUAAACCAAUUUGAGAGGAAUGAGGUAUAGAAGCUUGUUCCUAGACCUAGUGACCAUUUAGUCAUUGGUACUAAAUGGAUCUUUAGAAACAAGCAAGAUGAAUGCGGUAUCGUGAUUAGAAACAAGGCUAAACUAGUGGCCAAAGGUUUCAACCAAGAAGAAGGUAUCGACUACGAAGAGACCUUUGCUCCUGUGGCAAGAUUAGAAGCCAUUAAUUAGGAUGCUCCUUGCCUAUGCUAGUAGUAAUGAUUUUAAACUAUUUUAAAUGGAUGUCAAAAGUGCUUUCUUAAAUGGUUUUAUUUCCGAAGAAGUGUAUGUUGAACAACCUCCCGGAUUUGAAAAUUCUCUUCUUCCUAAUCAUGUAUUUAAAUUGACUAAGGCUCUUUAUAACUUAAAACAAGCUCCUAGAGCUUGGUAUGAAAGGCUUAGUUCCUUUCUUAUUUUAAAUAAUUUUACAAAAAGUAAGGUUGAUACUACAUUGUUUAUCAAACAUUUUGAAAAUAAUUUUCUUAUUGUUCAAAUUUAUGUUGACGAUAUUAUUUUUUGUUCUUCGGAUGAAUCACUAUGUGAAUCAUUUGCCAAGUGUAUGAGUCAUGAAUUUGAAAUGAGCCUAAUGGGAGAACUAACCUUCUUUUUAGGAUUGCAAAUUAAACAACUUAGUAAUGGUAUAUUUCUUGAUCAAUCUAAAUAUACAUUAGAAUUGUUAAAACGAUUUAACAUGGAUGGUUCAAAAACUAUAAACACUCCUAUGAGUACUUCCACUAAGUUAGACAUGGAUGAAAGUGGUGAAAACUUUGAUCAAAAAAAAUAUAGGGGAAUGAUUGGUAGUUUACUUUACCUCAUCGCAACUAGACCGGAUAUCAUGUUUAGUGUAGGACUUUGUGCUAGGUUUAAAGCUAAUCCUAAAUUAUCUCGUCUUAAAUGUGUUAAAAGAAUCCUUAGAUAUCUUAAAGGAUCUCCUAAUUUUUUAUUAUGAUAUCUAAAAUCCGAUAAUUUUGAUUUAAUAGCUUAUGCAGAUGCCGAUUUUGACGGAUGUAGGAUAGAUAAAAAAAACACAUCCGGAACAUGUCAAUUUUUAGGACAUGCACUUGUUUCUUGAACUUCCAAGAAACAAAAUUCGGUUGCCUAUAAUAUUUGUGUCUCACCCGAUGAAGAAAUAAUCCAGAUCGAUCAAUUUAACACUAUCAACAGAAUCCUACUCAAGAGACUUAGGUGCGCUUUUGGCAAUGGUAUAUGGAUUAAGCAACCUAGAAGGACUGAUCCAGUUCCCCCACCAGUAAAACACCCUGAAACACCCAUUUUUAAGGGAAAUGAAUCUCCUCCUCCUAGUCCCUUUGGUGCAGCACCUUCAGAACCAGCUCCUGCUUCAUCUUCUGAAUAUCCCAUAACGGCAGAAUUAAAUCAAAUCAAAUUACAACAAGAGCAACUCAAAUCACAGCAAGAGCAAAUCCAUUUACAGCAAGUUGAAAUUUUGAGGGAACUACGACAGAUGAACCAGAAGAUAAAUGCCAUGUAUAAGAACUCUGGAAUUCCUCCUAAGGAAUAAUCGUUGUGUUAAACCUUUCUUAUUAUUGUAAACCUCUAUGCUACUUUGACAUGCGUUUGACAUUAUCCUAGUAUAUGAUGUUGGAUGUUUCUUUCCGAAAUUUUGCCAACAUUUUGAUGGCACCUUCAUGUUAUUUUGGAUGAUUUGAUGUCUUCCUUGAAUGAUCAAUCUUAAUGCCAAGUUGAAGCUUUGUCAAUUUUGACAUCUCCUUUUUAAGAUUUUUUUUCUUAUGAGAUGAUUUUAUAAAUGGCUUCAAUGAUCACGAGUUUUAUGCUUAAAAACUCAUCUCCUUUUUGUUGAUGAGAAAGAGGGAGAAAAAUGUGCAAAAGAUUGAUGACUUGUGCAAAUAUGAAAUUAGCAUGACUUAUAUGUAUCGUAUUGCAAUAGCUUAUAUGUUGUAUAAUGCAAUGAAAAAUGUCUUAUAUGUGUUAUAUUCCUUAAAAGUAUCGCAAAACUUUUUUAACAUAUCGUAUAUGAAAGUUUUUAGAUUGGUUGUCGUAUCAUGUUUAUCAUUUUUUUAUAUAUAUGAUAAGCAAUCAUCUCAUGAUCAUAUGAAAUCAUACCUUGUAUUUAUAUCAUGAGAUCCAUGUUGAAAUUUUAAAUUAUUAUUAUUUCUUAUCGAAAUGAUAAUUAUCAUUUAUCAUUCGGCUUGAAAAUAAUUUUCAUGCCUUGAAAUUAUGAGAAAUACGAAGUUUCGUAUUUGCUCAUGCUUAUUAAGAAUAACGAUAAGUUCAACGGAUAGAACUUAUCGGUUUAGGCUUUAAUUCAAAGAGAUUGAAUUCAAGUGUUUUUAUCUUCUCAUAAUAUGACAUAUAGAUAGGGGGAGUUAUGAUUAACUUCGUCAUCAAUUGAUUGUCAACAUAAAAAAUGGGGAGAUUGUUGAAUCUCGGAUUUUGAUGAUGAAGUCAAUUGAUGGGUUAAUUGAUCUAAUCCAUAUUAUUGAGUUAAGUGUGCAGGAUUAACUACGAUAGCUUGAAGACAUAAAGCAAGUUUACCGGAGUCAAGUUCGAUGGGUGUUCAAGAGUCCGCCGAAAGUCCAAAGAAUCGUCGGAAGUGCUGUUGGAACCAACCAAGAAAGAAUCAGGGACUUGCCGAAGUUUUCGGAAGUCCGCCGGAAAGAUCGUCAGAGGUUCGCGGAGAUCACCGAGAAGGUUCGGAUACUUGCCAAAGACUCGUUGAACUCGCCACAAGACCAGGAGCCUACCGGGAGUCCGCCGGAAGAAAUCCGAGGGUGUAUCGGUAGUCCGCCGGAUGUUCGCCGGAAAGCUCGCUAGAAGGAAACUCGACGUUGCUGAUUAAAAAUUUGCUUAGGGCUAUAUCUUAAUUUCGUAGUUUGCAUAUAAUUUGGGUUAGGAUUAAGGGUUAAUCCCAUAACCCGGUUAGGAGCCAAUUAGACCCGAGUUUGGACUGGUUUGGGCCAAGUUUGGAGCCCAACCAGUGAGCUGGAACAGUCCAGGCGAUGGCACCGCCGGACUGGGCAGUGGCACCGCCCAGAACCCGAGAGGUCCGGCGGUGGCACCACCAAUAUACUAUCGGUGUCAGACACUGACAGGCGGUGGCACCGCCACUGAUAGGCGGUGGCACCGCCAGCACCGGGAAACCCAAAAGUAAUUCAAAUUUGGAGCCUAAAUUUGAAUCCUCUUGGGGCCUAUAAAUACCCCUCAAUUCUCAGUAGAGAUGACACCUUUUUGAGAAGUUAGAAAGUGAGAAAAAGCUCUAGCAAAGUCUUGUUUUCAAUAGCUUAAGUGUUCACCUCCCUCUUUCUCUUUGAAAAAAAUCUGUAAGAGUGUGAACCACUUGUAAGAAGGUUGUAAGAGGGGUAUUUGGUCCUUUCCCUUCAAAGUGAUUUGCUAGUGGAAGUUGGGAGCCUCAUCGAAAAAGGCUUCGAAAGUAUAUGUAGGUAAUUUGACCAAACCACUAUACAUCGUGGUGUUCCUUAAAUGUAUGAGUGUUCAAUUUUCUGAACCAUUUCUCUACUUAGCUGCAAAUCGUUCGGUUUUCAUCUCCCUACUCUUGACUACCUUUACUCGAGCUAUUUUAGCUAAGUCAUCCUUCGUCGAAUCGAAAUCUCUACACAUUUACAAAAUCGAUUUCAAACUUACGAGUUUUAAUCCGCUGCACUAAUUCACCCCCUCCCCCCUUAGUGCCGCUCCGAUCCUAACAGUACCGCCCAGACACAGUCUUCUAGGCGGUGGUACCGCCCAAUGUCAGGCUACAAGCGAUGUUAACGCCCAGUGCAGACGAUGGUACCGCCCAGUGCAGGCAGUGGUACCGCCCAAUGCAGGCGGUGGUACCACCCGUACCCUGAAAUUUCAGAGGAUUUGAAUUUUGGCUCCAUUUUUCAAGUCAUUUGGGGUCCAUAAAAAUCCUAGCUAUUCUUGCAUAGAGAAGCAAAAAAAGUGAACAAAAACUCUGUGUUUCUAAAGUUGAAAACCCUUGUAAAGUAUAUAGUCCCUCAUCCUAAAGUUUAGAAAUCAUUCUAAGAGAGAGUGUGAGGGAAGCUUUGUAAAAAGGGGGUGUAAAGGUUCUCUCCUAAGCCUGCAAAAGGAGAAUAAAGUUGUAAGAAGGAGGUUGAUCUUCGCCUAUUAAAGGAAGAUCAUUAGUGGAUGUUGGUGGCUUCGAUGAAAGGGGAUUCAGCGGAGUGGAUGGAGGUCACGGCGACCGAACCACUAUAAAAACUUGGUUUGCAUUUCUAUUCUUGCUAUUUACCUUCACUGCAAACUACUUACUUGCUUUACUUUCAUUACACUUACGAAUACAAUUUCAAAGUUAACAUCUUUCCGAAACGAUUUUCAUCGAAAUCAGUUUUAAUCGAACGAAGAUUUUUUAAACCGACGUAAUCUUUCCGCUGCACUAAUUCACCCCCCCUCUUAGUGCCGACUCGUUCCUAACACCUAGUUGUUGCCUUUUCAUAACAAAUCAAUAUGUAAAUUUCAUGCUAUUAUUUCAGAAGAGCAACUGAAAUUUUAAGUUAGAACACUUCAACAAAAAGUAACAAAUGGCAUUAGUGAACUUCUAUCUUUUGAAAUUUCCGCAAGAAGCUCAUCUUUAUCCUUCAACUUAUACAAAACUCAAGACAAAAGGCUCUUACAAACAAGGUUCGUCUUACCGAUCCCGAUCCGUACUAGUAUACCAACUAGUCAUCAGUGUAGUACAUGUCGAGGCAUACCAACU